CCUACGGGUGGCAGCAGUUGGGAAUAUUGCACAAUGGGGGAAACCCUGAUGCAGCGACUCCGCGUGCGUGAAGAAGUAUUUCGGUACGUAACGCUCUAUCAGUAGGGAAGAAAAUGCCGGUACCUGACUAAGAAUCCCCGGCUAACUACGUUCCAGCAACCGCGGUAAUACGUAGGGGGCAAGCGUUAGCCGGAUUUACUGGGUGUAAAGGUAGCGUAGACGGCAGCGCAAGUCUGGAGUGAAAUCCCAUGGCUUAACCAUGGAACUGCUUUGGAAACUGUGCAGCUAGAGGGCAGGAGAGGUAAGCGGAAUUCCGAGUGAAGAGGUGAAAGGCGUAGAUAUUAGGAGGAACACCAGUGGCGAAGGCGGCUUACUGGACUGUAACUGACGUUGAGGCUCGAAAGCGUGGGGAGCAAACAGGAGUAGAUACCCUUGUAGUC
rnacentral:rRNA from 1 species